ensembl:lncRNA
UAGUAGUAGUAGUAGUAGUAGUAGUAGUAGCAGUAGUAGUAGUAGUAGUAGUAGUAGUAUAGUAGUAGUAAGGGUAGUCAUAUAGUAGUAGUAGUAGUAAGGGUAGUCAUAUAGUAGUAGUAGUAGUAGUAGUAGUAGUAGUAGUAGUAAUAGUAGUAAGGGUAGUCAUAUAGUAGUAGUAGUAGUAGUAGUAGUAGUAUAGGUAGUCAUAUAGUAGUAGUAGUAGUAGUAGUAGUAGUAGUAGUAGUAGUAGUAGUAGGGUAGUCAUAUAGUAGUAGUAGUAGUAGUAGUAGUAGUAGUAGUAGUAGUAGUAGUAGUAGUAGUAGUAGUAGUAGUAGUAGUAGUAGUAGUAGGUAGUCAUAUAGUAGUAGUAGUAGUAGUAGUAGUAAGGGUAGUCAUAUAGUAGUAGUAGUAGUAAUUAGGAUGAUCAGAGUGAACUGUUAAUAUUUUGUUCAACAAUCUUUUUUUUUUUUUUUCAUUUAAUCCUGCCUUUCAGAAUCUAAAUAAGGUAUUUACAUGUCUCCCAGAAGACAAAAUACUAACAAUUUACACUGAUCAUCCUUUUCAAAAGUUUACACUCCCCUGG